AGUGGUCAUAGCCACUAUAAACAGGGCUUUAAGCUAUGAGCGUUCCUGCUCUUUAGGGCAGGAGGUAGUC
rnacentral:ribozyme from 1 species